ensembl:lncRNA
CUGGGACGGUUUUUCACUGUUCGGGUUAGGCCCCUUAGUUCCAGUGAAGGGAAAUGUUAACACUACAGUAUAUAAUGAAAUUCUAGACAAUUCUGUGCUUCCAACUUCGUUGCAACAGUUUGAGAGUGUGUCAGUGUAGAGAGUGUGUCAGUGUAGAGAGAGUGUGUCAGUGUAGAGAGAGUGUGUCGGUGUAGAGAGUGUGUUAGUGUAGAGAGAGUGUGUCAGUGUAGAGAGAGUGUGUCAGUGUAGAGAGAGUGUGUGUAGAGAGAGUGUGUGUAGAGAGAGUGUGUCAGUGUAGAGAGAGUGUUUCAGUGUAGAGAGUGUGUUAGUGUAGAGAGAGUGUGUGUAGAGAGAGUGUGUCAGUGUAGAGAGAGUGUGUCAGUGUAGAGAGAGUGUGUCAGUGUAGAGAGAGUGUCAGUGUAGAGAGUGUGUUGGUGUAGAGAGUGUGUCAGUGUAGAGAGUGUGUCAGUGUAGAGAGUGUCAGUGUAGAGAGAGUGUGUCAGUGUAGAGAGUGUGUCAGUGUAGAGAGUGUGUCAGUGUAGAGAGAGUGUGUCAGUGUAGAGAGAGUGUCAGUGUAGAGAGUGUGUCAGUGUAGAGAGUGUGUCAGUGUAGAGAGUGUGUCAGUGUAGAGAGAGUGUGUCAGUGUAGAGAGAGUGUGUCAGUGUAGAGAGAGUGUCAGUGUAGAGAGUGUGUGUAGAGAGAGUGUGUUAGUGUAGAGAGAGUGUGUCAGUGUAGAGAGUUUGUCGGUGUAGAGAGAGUGUGUCAGUGUAGAGAGUGUGUCAGUGUAGAGAGUGUGUCAGUGUAGAGAGUUUGUCGGUGUUGAGAGAGUGUGUCAGUGUAGAGAGAGUGUGUGUAGAGAGAGUGUGUCAGUGUAGAGAGAGUGUGUGUAGAGAGAGUGUGUUAGUGUAGAGAGAGUGUGUGUAGAGAGAGUGUGUCAGUGUAGAGAGAGUGUGUCAGUGUAGAGAGAGUGUCAGUGUAGAGAGAGUGUGUGUAGAGAGAGUGUGUGUAGAGAGAGUGUGUCAGUGUAGAGAGAGUGUUUCAGUGUAGAGAGUGUGUUAGUGUAGAGAGAGUGUGUGUAGAGAGAGUGUGUCAGUGUAGAGAGAGUGUGUCAGUGUAGAGAAGGUGUGUUAGUGUAGAGAGAGUGUGUGUAGAGAGAGUGUGUCAGUGUGGAGAGAGUGUCAGUGUAGAGAUAGUGUGUCAGUGUAGAGAGUGUGUCAGUGUAGAGAGAGUGUGUCAGUGUAGAGAGUGUGUCAGUGUAGAGAGAGUGUGUCAGUGUAGAGAGAGUGUGUCAGUGUAGAGAGAGUGUCAGUGUAGAGAGUGUGUUGGUGUAGAGAGUGUGUCAGUGUAGAGAGUGUGUCAGUGUAGAGAGAGUGUGUCAGUGUAGAGAGAGUGUCAGUGUAGAGAGUGUGUGUAGAGAGAGUGUGUUAGUGUAGAGAGAGUGUGUCAGUGUAGAGAGAGUGUGUCAGUGUAGAGAGAGUGUGUCAGUGUAGAGGAAGUGUGUCAGUGUAGAGAGAGUGUGUGUAGAGAGAGUGUGUCAGUGUGGAGAGAGUGUCAGAGAGUGUGUCAGUGUAGAGAGUGUGUCAGUGUAGAGAGAGUGUGUCAGUGUAGAGAGAGUGUGUCAGUGUAGAGAGUGUGUCAGUGUAGAGAGAGUGUGUCAGUGUAGAGAGAGUGUGUCAGUGUAGAGAGUGUGUCAGUGUAGAGAGAGUGUGUCAGUGUAGAGAGAGUGUCAGUGUAGAGAGUGUGUCAGUGUAGAGAGUGUGUCAGUGUAGAGAGAGUGUGUCAGUGUAGAGAGUGUGUCAGUGUAGAGAGUGUGUCAGUGUAGAGAGUGUGUCAGUGUAGAGAGAGUGUGUCAGUGUAGAGAGUGUGUUAGUGUAGAGAGAGUGUGUCAGUGUAGAGAGAGUGUGUCAGUGUAGAGAGAGUGUGUGUAGAGAGAGUGUGUCAGUGUAGAGAGAGUGUUUCAGUGUAGAGAGUGUGUUAGUGUAGAGAGAGUGUGUGUAGAGAGAGUGUGUCAGUGUAGAGAGAGUGUCAGUGUAGAGAAGGUGUGUCAGUGUAGAGAGAGUGUGUGUAGAGAGAGUGUCAGUGUGGAGAGAGUGUCAGUGUAGAGAGAGUGUGUCAGUGUAGAGAGUGUGUCAGUGUAGAGAGAGUGUGUCAGUGUAGAGAGUGUGUCAGUGUAGAGAGAGUGUGUCAGUGUAGAGAGAGUGUGUCAGUGUAGAGAGAGUGUCAGUGUAGAGAGAGUGUGUUGGUGUAGAGAGUGUGUCAGUGUAGAGAGUGUCAGUGUAGAGAGAGUGUGUCAGUGUAGAGAGUGUGUCAGUGUAGAGAGAGUGUGUCAGUGUAGAGAGAGUGUGUGUAGAGAGAGUGUGUGUAGAGAGAGUGUGUCAGUGUAGAGAGUGUGUCAGUGUAGAGAGUGUGUCAGUGUAGAGAGAGUGUGUGUGUAGAGAGAGUGUGUUAGUGUAGAGAGAGUGUGUCAGUGUAGAGAGAGUGUGUCGGUGUAGAGAGAGUGUGUUAGUGUAGAGAGAGUGUGUCAGUGUAGAGAGUUUGUCGGUGUAGAGAAAGUGUGUCAGUGUAGAGAGUGUGUCAGUGUAGAGAGAGUGUGACAGUGUAGAGAGAGUGUUUCAGUGUAGAGAGUUUGUCGGUGUUGAGAGAGUGUGUCAGUGUAGAGAGAGUGUGUCAGUGUAGAGGAAGUGUGUCAGUGUAGAGAGAGUGUGUGUAGAGAGAGUGUGUCAGUGUGGAGAGAGUGUCAGUGUAGAGAGAGUGUGUCAGUGUAGAGAGUGUGUCAGUGUAGAGAGAGUGUGUCAGUGUAGAGAGAGUGUCGGUGUAGAGAGUGUGUCGGUGUAGAGAUAGUGUGUCAGUGUAGAGAGAGUGGGUCAGUGUAGAGAGUGUGUCAGUGUAGAGAGAGUGUGUCAGUGUAGAGAGAGUGUCAGUGUAGAGAGUGUGUCAGUGUAGAGAGAGUGUCAGUGUAGAGAGAGUGUCAGUGUAGAGAGAGUGUGUCGGUGUAGAGAGUGUGUUAGUGUAGAGAGAGUGUGUCAGUGUAGAGAGAGUGUGUCAGUGUAGAGAGUGUGUUAGUGUAGAGAGAGUGUCAGUGUAGAGAGAGUGUGUCAGUGUAGAGAGAGUGUGUGUAGAGAGAGUGUGUGUAGAGAGAGUGUGUCAGUGUAGAGAGAGUGUUUCAGUGUAGAGAGUGUGUUAGUGUAGAGAGAGUGUGUGUAGAGAGAGUGUGUCAGUGUGGAGAGAGUGUCAGUGUAGAGAGAGUGUGUCAGUGUAGAGAGUGUGUCAGUGUAGAGAGAGUGUCAGUGUAGAGAGUGUGUCAGUGUAGAGAGUGUGUCAGUGUAGAGAGUGUGUCAGUGUAGAGAGAGUGUCAGUGUAGAGAGUGUGUUGGUGUAGAGAGUGUGUCAGUGUAGAGAGUGUGUCAGUGUAGAGAGAGUGUGUCAGUGUAGAGAGAGUGUCAGUGUAGAGAGUGUGUGUAGAGAGAGUGUGUUAGUGUAGAGAGAGUGUGUCAGUGUAGAGAGAGUGUGUCAGUGUAGAGAGAGUGUCAGUGUAGAGAGUGUGUGUAGAGAGAGUGUGUUACUGUAGAGAGAGUGUGUCAGUGUAGAGAGUUUGUCGGUGUAGAGAGUGUGUCAGUGUAGAGAGUGUGUCAGUGUAGAGAGUGUGUCAGUGUUGAGAGAGUGUGUCAGUGUAGAGAGAGUGUGUCAGUGUCGAGAGUGUGUCAGUGUAGAGAGAGUGUGUCAGUGUAGAGAAGUGUGUCAGUGUAGAGAGAGUGUGUGUAGAGAGAGUGUGUCAGUGUGGAGAGAGUGUCAGUGUAGAGAGAGUGUGUCAGUGUAGAGAGAGUGUGUCAGUGUAGAGAGAGUGUCAGUGUAGAGAGUGUGUCGGUGUAGAGAGAGUGUGUCAGUGUAGAGAGUGUGUCAGUGUAGAGAGUGUGUCAGUGUAGAGAGAGUGUGUCAGUGUAGAGAGAGUGUGUGUAGAGAGAGUGUGUCAGUGUAGAGAGUGUGUCAGUGUAGAGAGAGUGUGUCGGUGUAGAGAGUGUGUGUAGAGAGAG